UACGUAGGGACCAAGCGUUGUUCGGAUUUACUGGGCGUAAAGGGCGCGUAGGCGGUGCGGUAAGUCACUUGUGAAAUCUCUGAGCUUAACUCAGAACGGCCAAGUGAUACUGCAGUGCUAGAGUGCGGAAGGGGCAAUCGGAAUUCUUGGUGUAGCGGUGAAAUGCGUAGAGAUCGGGAGGAACACCGGUGGCGAAGGCGGGUCUCUGGGCAAUUCCUGACGCUGAGGCGCGAAAGCGUGGGGAGCAAACAGG
rnacentral:rRNA from 1 species